GCCUUUAACAAGAAUAUUUUGUAUUUGAAAGGGACAAUAUAAUAUUUUAAAUGCUGUAACUGCUGCCUAUACAACCAACACAAUAGUGAAUGAUAAUACACACAUAAUUAAUCAACAACAAUAGCUGGGUAUACAAGUAAAUGGCAACUACACAAUGUCAUCUCCCACCGGUGAUGUGUGUAUACUGUUGCUAAUUUUUUGAACGUUUCUCUUACGUUUAUCAGUUUAUCCCUUGUUGCAUAUGUUACAGUUCAGUGGCCACGGCCAAUCACCUGCUGGCAUCUUAGGAAUUUUGCUUAGGGUGUGGCGAGACCAUAUUCCGUACGCAGGUACCUGGGUCAUUUCUGUUCCUGAUUUCGUUUGAGUAAGUUCGCCGUAUUUUCUGUAGUCAUUUCCAGUUAGUUUUCAUUGCCGAUUUCACAAGCUCACUCUAGCUGAUGUCGGAGUCUCUGAGAGUGCACUCAGGACGUGGAAGGCGAGGUAUGGGCUAACCAUGAUUUCUAACCAACCAUUACAGACAAGCUCACUCUAGCUGAUGUCAGAGUCUCUGAGAGUGCACUCAGGAUGUGGAAGGAUCCUCCUCUGCUGAUAGAAGUCUCGUCUCUCCAUGCUUCAAGCUAAGAGCUAAAUUGCGAAGGACGCGGCUACAACGUGUUCGAG